rnacentral:rRNA from 1 species
UACGUAGGGGGCGAGCGUUUGUCCGGAAUCAUUGGGCGUAAAGAGCGUGUAGGCGGCUUGGCAAGUCUGACGUGAAAGCCCGCGGCUCAACCGCGGAUUGUCGUUGGAAACUGCCUCGCUAGAGUCCGGAAGAGGAGAGCGGAAUUCCUGGUGUAGCGGUGGAAUGCGCAGAUAUCAGGAGGAACACCGGUGGCGAAGGCGGGAUCUGGC